rnacentral:rRNA from 1 species
AUUGAACGCUGGCGGCAUGCCUUACACAUGCAAGUCGAACGGUAACAGGUCUUCGGAUGCUGACGAGUGGCGAACGGGUGAGUAAUACAUCGGAACGUGCCCGAGAGUGGGGGAUAACGAGGCGAAAGCUUUGCUAAUACCGCAUACGAUCUCAGGAUGAAAGCAGGGGACCGCAAGGCCUUGCGCUCACGGAGCGGCCGAUGGCAGAUUAGGUAGUUGGUGGGAUAAAAGCUUACCAAGCCGCCGAUCUGUAGCUGGUCUGAGAGGACGACCAGCCACACUGGGACUGAGACACGGCCCAGACUCCUACGGGAGGCAGCAGUGGGGAAUUUUGGACAAUGGGCGAAAGCCUGAUCCAGCCAUGCCGCGUGCAGGAUGAAGGCCUUCGGGUUGUAAACUGCUUUUGUACGGAACGAAAAGACUCUUUCUAAUAAAGAGGGUCCAUGACGGUACCGUAAGAAUAAGCACCGGCUAACUACGUGCCAGCCGCCGCAGUAACAC